rnacentral:rRNA from 1 species
UAGAUACCCUGGUAGUCCUAGCUGUAAACGAUGGAUACUAGAUGUAGGAACUGGAUUGACGGUUUCUGUAUCGUAGCUAACGCGUUAAGUAUCCCGCCUGGGGAGUACGGUCGCAAGACUAAAACUCAAAGGAAUUGACGGGACCCCGCACAAGCGGCGGAGCAUGCGGCUUAAUUCGAUGAUACCCGUAGAACCUUACCUGGACUUGACAUAUAGGGAAAAACUAGAGAAAUCUAGUGUGCGUAAGCGC